rnacentral:rRNA from 1 species
UAAACCCUCAAUUAGACCCAAAAACGUUACAGGUUUGGGGUAAUGAAGGAACAUCUAUAGCCCGAGUACUUUAACUUAACCCCAGGUUAUGGUUUAGUCGGAACUCUAAAGGGUUAAGACAACAAACUAACAUGUUCUUUGACGUUCGAACUUAGUUCGUCAACGUUUAAGGUUAAGAACAAACCUAACAUGAGUACAUGUAUCACCACUUGACCACGUAACGAUGAAGAGUCGUCAAACUUGUAAUCUCACUACAUGUAGGAACUAUACGGAUGACAUUUAGUGUUAUAUACGAGUGUAAAAUUACUGAUAUGUAACGAAAUCUUAAUUUUUUGCACUUUAUAAGCUUUCCAGUAAGUAUUAUAAGACUUUUUACAUCUUUUGUCCAUGUCAUGAUGAGGGAGGCAGGGUAUUAUAUUCUCGCAAAAACUGUAUACCCCGCCUCCCUCAUCAACAAUCCUCCAGCUCUCCCCAAUCCCAAAUCAUUAGGGUUUAGCAUUCAUCGUUCUACAUCCACGCAGACAAGCCAGCUCCUUUAACCCCACCCGCGCGGCGCGCUCUAUCUUCCUCGUACCUCCGCCCCACCGGUUAAAGGCGCUUUUGUCUCUGCCGCCCGAGCCGUAGCACCCUCCCUGCGCGUUCACUUUCCCUCAAACGGUUUGUCGCGAUAGGCCACCGAAGUUAAAGUCAACCGACUAAGGUGCGCGUCUAGUGCGCCGUCGCAACCAUCGCGGCCCGUGGCCUCACGUGUCCCUAAUCCCUAACCCCGGCAGCCACCUUACGCAUGGACCUCCCGGCCCUUCCAGCGGCCCCCAUGACUGAGAGGCUGGGGCUCAAGCGGGGACGCAGCGCGGCCGUCCUCUCUGCUUUCCCCUGCCGCCAUCCCAAUGAAAACCGCGGUGCGGCCGGAUCGGAGGGCGCAGAGGUGAAAAGUCGCAACGGGAACGGGAACGGGACGAGACACGCAGGUACCCGGAUUAAGUCGGGUGGACAGGUAUCUUUCGGGACUGCCGGGUUUCAGGUUCGGGUGCAACCGAGACUGUGGCGAUUUUUUUUGUGAACCGCGACUGCGGCGGCCAGCUGCAGCCAGGAGAGCUCCUACCGGCGAACAGCCGCCGAACCGAACCAAACUGCCUCGACCUUGAGAGCUACACUGGCAUGAGGCGCGAACCUAGCUCCUGCCGCGGACGUCGCUAAACUUAGGGCUCGGGUGGAAACGGGGCACGACGAAGUCUCGAGUUUGGGAUUGGUCGUUUGGGGCUGAGCCUACCUCUUUAGGCAACGCCCUAGUCGUCUGCUCCCCUUGCAGAGGUACCUGUUCCAUGGUGAAGGAGAAACCUAAAGAUCGCGGAAGAAACACGUAUGGGUUGGACAUACUCAUACUAAGCUAAGAAAGCUAGGGAAAAAAUCAAACCAUAUUUUAUUUAACAUGAGGGAGGCAGGGUAUUAUAUCACAGUUUUUUGCAGAAUGUAUGUAAUACCCUGCCUCCCUCAUCUACACGACAAGUCAUGUGGGAAAAAUUAAGUUUUGCGAUCUCACGAGUAAUACGGUACUAUAGACAAAGAAAAAAGAAGAUCUUUGUAGUACGCCACAACUUAUUCAUUUUUAUCCUUCUUGAACGGUCUUUUUUUUUUCCAAUGGUCUUACGGACCCUUUCCAGUGUGACUUUGAAUCAAGUACAAAAACAAUACGGGAAGCAAGUUACAAGUCAAUUCUAACUACCGUGUACAAUAGAAAUAAAAGUUCGUUACGAUACGCAAGUAGAACACUUUAAAUAAAUAAUACGUUUUCUCGAUUAUAGAUAACUUUGUUGAUGGGAGGAAGUCAGUACAAUAUCACGCGUAAUAGACUAUAGACAAGAAAAAGAAGACCUUUGUAGUACACCACAACUUAUUCAUUUUUAUCCUUCUUGAACAGUCUUCUUUUUCCAAUGGUCUUACGGACCCUUACCAGUGUGACUUAGAAUCAAGUAAAAAACAAUACGGGAAGCAAGUUACAAGUCAAUUCUAACUAACUACCGUGUACAAUAGAAAUAAAAGUUCGUGACGAUAACAAGUAGAACACUUUAAAUCAUACGCGUCGAUCAUUGUAGAUAAUUUUGUUGCCCGUUAAGAAGUCAGUUCGAGAACGUUCUUCGCCACAGAAACGCUAACCUAGUCGCCUGACGGGCUGCUUUAGGACCAGUCGUAGGAUCUGUUCAACCUAAGGUUCUGACGUCAACCGUGCUCGGAGGAGAGUGCCGCUACCUCCGCGAAUACCUCCGAGCACCUUAGGAAGGUAAAGUCACUCCACCAAAAUGGUCUGUUGAUAACGACCCAUGCGGAGCCUGGUUACGCCCUGAUGAAGUCGUGUGUAUCUCUAGUGGUAAAACAACUCAGGGAGGUCACCAAGUGUUCCGAAUUCUCUCUCUGUGGUAACUCUUCUGACAGGGAACACAAGAGUCCGUCACACCUCACAUCGCUACACCAGUUGUCGCGGUAUCGAAGACGUCGAGUCGUACCAUAGUCACUGUAACUAUACCGUUAAAAACCUUCCUACCUCAUGCUCAAGGGGACCACCAACAACAGACAAACGUCCUCGAGUCGCGACUGGUCGAAUACGGAUUCAGUAACGUUCGAAAGACAGGGGGAGCUGAAGCCUCCUAAGCCAAGGGAGUGUUUCGAACAGGAACAGGUCUACAUAUACUCGGACUUUCUCCACGUUCAAGAGGAGUCCACGACAUGUUUGAAUCACUCGAAUGUGGACUAACCGUACAAACUAUAGUCUUAGGACGCCGAAGGUUUCGAAUUUCUUAACGAUAACAAUUACUGAGGUAGCAACCCAUUUAAAUUCCAUCUGUGUGGUCUGGACGUUUCUAACCUCAUGACGCCUCUCUACGAGGGUUGUAGAUGUAAAGUUAGGUAAGGUACAGAACUCGUACAAAGGGACGUUAAAUGACUACUAUAAAUAGGUCUUAUACUGCGCCUGUUCAACCUCCUAUAGAGAUGAACAAAAGGGGUACAGUUCUCGGAAACGAACGCCAUGCUCUAGGGGUUCGAUCAGUUUGGUUCUUGAGGACGGUGGAAAAAUUUGGAGUUUCAGGAUUGAAACUUGUAGCGAUGUUUUGGAAGCCUACUAGAAGAAACCUACAAGUACAAGGAUUAACGACGUGGUAUAAACCGAUGUGACUCUUGAUGACAUGUGAUAAAUAGUAUAGAACUUAGAGUAUCACCCCACCAUACCCUACUACAGCUGAAGGUCGUGCAGUCAAACUUCUUACAUCUCUACAUAUUGAAGUACCCUUCUCUAUUACUCUAUCCGAACCGCUCCGAUGACAAUACAUCCCGAGGAUUAGACUCUAUAAACAGGAAGUUGGUUCGAGCAGACCUCCUUCCACUACUAGUGGUCGACCACGGGGGAUGGACCGGGUACCGACUUUGAAAAAGGGGUUCUCUGUCGGUCAAGCAAGAGAGAUUCAAUGACCUCUUACAAAGAAGGUCACGCGCACAUCAUAAGUAGACUAUUCCAUGAAAGGCAUGAGGAUAAACAUGUCGCGCACUGUACACUGUAACGUAUUAAUUACUGACGUUCUAAACUAUUUAUUAAAGAACCGGAGAGUCUUAGUACGUCUACACGAAGAGUGUUAAACAUUAAACUCACAUUUACCAACACGAAGCGCGAAGCGCACAAGUAGUGAGGCUAGUACUUACAUCCAUCUUCGUCUCAGACAGUAACUCCGUUCACUAGGUUCCCAAGCGUCAAACUUCGGCUUGAUGUAGAUUAACUUAAUUAAAUACCAUAUGCACAAAAAAAAACCGUAGACGAUAAGGAGUCCGUUGACUCUAGAAAAAAAAAAACAGUUAGUUAAGGGCGUACUCACACACGUACGAUGGACGAAAAACCACAAGGCGAGUUUUCCUUUAUUCCUCUUGAGAAACCACACACGCACUCGAUGGACGGUUGAACAUCGACAUCACGUGAGUACCAACAUCGGAUAUCACUAUAACAGCUGACAACAACGAAACCAACACACACUAUUCAGACGACUAGUGUACAAGGGUGAAACUCUAUAAAGCUAUUAUUAGAGUAAAACUUUAAAUGCAGUUGAAUUAAUCAGUCAAACCAUAAAUGGUUGAGAUCUUUUCUUCAAACUUUAAAUGGUUUUAGUGACCAUCUAUAACUUUGGCUUAACAUAAAUAAAGUAUAGUCUGAGCUG